ACUGACACACAGUUAAUGUAAUACAUGGACGUAACUUUUGUUUAUUAGUAUAUAAUCUUACAUUUUAAAAUAAUCCACGAGAAACAUAGCUAGUGAUGCGUUUUUUUUGGUCCACGUGGUUGUUUUAGGAGUCGCAUCUUGUUCUACGUCAUAACUUGAUUUCGAAGCAGUGUGCGGCAAAGCGACAACGAGCCACUUAAAACCGUUUUUUUUUUGUUUAUAUCAGUUAAUUUGAUUUAUUUCAAAUUAUGUCUUCAAAAGGCAUUAAGGUAGACAAUGACCUCAAAACAAAGGUUGACGCCUUCAGAGAGCGGAUCACGGGUGAGGCUGAAAACCUGGUCGCAGACUUUUUCCCC